rnacentral:rRNA from 1 species
GUCGAGAAUCAUUCACAAUGGGGGAAACCCUGAUGGUGUGACGCCGCGUGGAGGAUGAAGGUCUUCGGAUUGUAAACUCCUGUCAUGUGGGAGUAAAGCCGGGUGUUAAAUGCAUGCCGGUCUGAGAGUACCACAAGAGGAAGGGACGGCUAACUCUGUGCCAGCAGCCGCGGUAAUACAGAGGUCCCAAGCGUUGUUCGGAAUCACUGGGCGUAAAGGGUGCGUAGGCGGCGCGGAAAGUAAGGGGUGAAAUCCCGGAGCUCAACUCCGGAACUGCCUUUGAUACUCCCGCGCUUGAGAACUGGAGGGGAGACCGGAAUUCACGGUGGAGCAGUGAAAUGCGUGGAUAUCGUGAGGAACACUAGUGGCGAAGGCGGGUCUCUGGACAGUAUCUGACGCUGAGGCACGAAGGCCAGGGGAGCGAACGGGAUUAGAAACCCCGGUAGUCC